CCUACGGGUGGCAGCAGUGAGGAAUAUUGGUCAAUGGCCGGAAGGCUGAACCAGCCAAGCCGCGUGAAGGUCAGUGCCCUAUGGGCGUUAAAAUUCCUUUGUGCGGGAGCAAUAAUGGUCAAGUGUGGCCAGACGAGAGUACCGUACGAAAAAGCAUCGGCUAACUUCGUGCCAGCAGCCGCGGUAAUACGGGGGAUGCAAGCGUUAUCCGGAUUUAUUGGGGUUAAAGGGUGCGUAGGCUGUGAGGUAAGUCAGCGGUGAAAUGCCCCCGCUCAACGGGGUGAAGUGCCAUUGAUACUGGCUUGCUGGAAUGCGGAUGCCGUGGGAGGAAUGUGUGGUGUAGCGGUGAAAUGCAUAGAUAUCACACAGAACACCGAUUGCGAAGGCAUCUCACGAAUCCGCGAUUGACGCUGAUGCACGAAAGCGUGGGUAUCAAACAGGAUUAGAUACCUGAGUAGUC
rnacentral:rRNA from 1 species